CUUCGCCCGGAAGUGAGGUGCAGUUUUAAAUUCAGGGUUAACGCAACUGUUUGUUUAGAAAUAUAUGACUCAGAAAAGGCCAUAAAUGUGUAGCUACUGUCAGGGAGGAACCCGGGGGACGUUUAAACAGUUUCAGACUGUACGAGUGAAUUCAGAAACAUUUGGAGAAUGCCUGGUCCUGUCUGACGAUCUGGAUGUUGGAGUUAUCAGUCAACUUUGAAGCAGGUGUACUGGAUUUUGGCUUGCUGUUGGAAAGCUAAAUGAGCUAAAGCUAACUAGGCCUACUUGCCAAUGAGCUGAACUAGCUUCAGCUGGAGUCUACACGCGGGAGUGCUACAAUCUACUUAAGACGCUGUUGUUAUAGCGAGGAGAGAGUACGGUGGAUUCUCCCAAGGAUUGCUCUUCUGAGAGGCUGCAGUUUAUUACAAAUGGGAAAGCUUUCAUUGCAGAUUGCCCCAGCGCUGCGUAGAGGUCCACCACCUGCCCUGGCCUGCACUGCUUUUCCCCCAGCCAAGGAAGCUCAUGCCUGGGCACUCUGGGCAGCGGCCCAGCCUUUCACAUCCAGGUCCAGGGCCAAGAGACAGGGGCCAACAGCUGGCGGUAUGCAGAAGGAGCCUGGAGGCUUCCACAGCAGAUGAAUCACCACGGAUUAAUAUUUAACUCCAGACUCCUGCUCCCCUCUAGCGUCUCUCCUCCCCCCGCUCUCUUCUUACCACCUUCCUUCUCCCUGUAUCCAUCACACCAUCCCCCAGUCCUGCAGCCUUUCAGCAGGUUCCUCUCGCCCAUUCUUCCACUACUGCAUCAUCAUCAUCAUCGUCCAGCAUGAUGCCCGAAACCACUGAGUUUCAGCAGCAAGAGGUGUAGUUUGAGUUGUCACGACAACCUGCGCGCCUGGCUCAUGGCUGCCUUCCAAGCGCAGACAAAGCUGUCGUCGAAUGAACCAGGCGUGUGUCCACCGGACCUGAGGGGUGCCGCCGCCGCUAACAAAACACACAAAGACCCUCGCCCCUGGCACUGGCCGUCACCCCGUCUACCCGCUAUCCUGCCCCUCCCACACUCGACUGCCUGCUGCUUUGUGCCUGCUCCAAGAAGAGGAAGUUCCUCUCAUCUCCUU